AUGAUAUUUACACUGGUUACAGUAAAACACUUUCUGACAAGCCCGAUUUCAGAUCAGAAGUUGAAGUAACUCACCCUUCUCACAAUUCUCUUGAAAUAAAAUGUGAAAACAAGGGACCAAAGAUAUUCUGGAAUGGAGGAGAGGGAAUAUUUCAAGCUGAAAUCACAUACAAUGGAGGACGUCCAAUCACCAAAUACAAAACUAAAUGUUCAUUUCAUUUUCAAGAUCUUUACUACCUUACAACAUAUAAAAUUAAGAUUACAGCCAAGAAUAAAGAAGGACAUUCAGCUUUCAUUACUUCUGAAGCUAAAACU